GACGAACGCUGGCGGCGUGCCUAAUACAUGCAAGUUGGGCGCUGAAGGUUGGUACUUGUACCAACUGGAUGAGCAGCGAACGGGUGAGUAACGCGUGGGGAAUCUGCCUUUGAGCGGGGGACAACAUUUGGAAACGAAUGCUAAUACCGCAUAAAAACUUUAAACACAAGUUUUAAGUUUGAAAGAUGCAAUUGCAUCACUCAAAGAUGAUCCCGCGUUGUAUUAGCUAGUUGGUGAGGUAAAGGCUCACCAAGGCGAUGAUACAUAGCCGACCUGAGAGGGUGAUCGGCCACAUUGGGACUGAGACACGGCCCAAACUCCUACGGGAGGCAGCAGCAGGGAAUCUUCGGCAAUGGACGAAAGUCUGACCGAGCAACGCCGCGUGAGUGAAGAAGGUUUUCGGAUCGUAAAACUCUGUUGGUAGAGAAGAACGUUGGUGAGAGUGGAAAGCUCAUCAAGUGACGGUAACUACCCAGAAAGGGACGGCUAACUACGUG
rnacentral:rRNA from 1 species